rnacentral:rRNA from 1 species
GUGCCAGCCGCCGCGGUAAUACCGGCAGCCCAAGUGAUGGCCGCUGUUAUUGGGCCUAAAGCGUCCGUAGCUGGCCGCACGAGUCCGUCGGGAAAUCCGCCCGCUCAACGGGCGGCCGUCCGGCGGAACCUGUGUGGCUUGGGACCGGAAGGCGCGACGGGUACGUCCGGGGUAGGAGUGAAAUCCCGUAAUCCCGCACGGACCACCGAUGGCGAAAGCACUUCGAGAAAACGGAUCCGACAGUGAGGGACGAAAGCCAGGGUCUCCAACCGGAUUAGAAACCCGGGUAGUCC